rnacentral:rRNA from 1 species
UACAGAGGGGGCAAGCGUUGUUCGGAAUUACUGGGCGUAAAGGGCGCGUAGGCGGCCUUCUAAGUCGAACGUGAAAUCCCCGGGCUCAACCCGGGAACUGCGUCCGAUACUGGAAGGCUUGAAUCCGGGAGAGGGAUGCGGAAUUCCAGGUGUAGCGGUGAAAUGCGCAGAUAUCAGGAGGAACACCGGUGGCGAAGGCGGGAUCCUGGGCCAGUACUGACGCUGAGGAGCGAAAGCGUGGGGAGCAAACAGG